UUGAUAAGCGUGAGGUCGGAGGUUCAAGUCCUCCCAGGCCCACCAAUUUAUGCUCAUUUUUUGCUUAUCCAAGAGUAUAAAGCUUAAGCGUAUUAAAGCCUCUUCAAUCUUUGUUUAUUUUUAAAGAUUUUAUUUUAUCAUUCAGAGAUUGUUUGUUAAAUUUAUCCCAUUAAGCUUCCAAAGAGGCUUUGUCCCUUUAGUGGUACAGAUAAAUUUACAUGAUACAAAUCAAAACAGGACAGGUAAUUCAAGUUGAUGAAUUUGGUUAUGGUUGAUUUGAGAGAGCAUUAUUUAGGGGCCGUAGCUCAGCUGGGA
rnacentral:misc_RNA from 1 species